GCCCGGUUAGCUCAAUCGGUAGAGCGUGAGACUCUUAAUCUCAAGGUUGCGGGUAAGUUCUUUACAUCAUCUGCCA